rnacentral:rRNA from 1 species
AGCGAACGUUAGCGGCGCGCCUAACACAUGCAAGUCGAACGAUGAACCCGGAGCUUGCUCCGGCGGAUUAGUGGCGAACGGGUGAGUAACACGUGAGUAACCUGCCCUUGACUCUGGGAUAACUGCUAGAAAUGGUAGCUAAUACCGGAUACGACCCUCGGUGGCAUCACCAGGGGGUGGAAAGAAUUUCGGUCAAGGAUGGACUCGCGGCCUAUCAGCUAGUUGGUGAGGUAACGGCUCACCAAGGCGACGACGGGUAGCCGGCCUGAGAGGGUGACCGGCCACACUGGGACUGAGACACGGCCCAGACUCCUACGGGAGGCAGCGGUGGGGAAUAUUGCACAAUGGGCGCAAGCCUGACGCAGCAACGCCGCGUAAGGGAUGACGGCCUUCGGGUUGUAAACCUCUUUUAGUAGGGAAGAAGCGAAAGUGACGGUACCUGCAGAAAAAGCACCGGCUAACUACGUGCCAGCCGCCGCAGUAA